rnacentral:lncRNA from 1 species
CACCUACCUUACUAAUUCCUAGUACCCCUAUGGUUUCUAUACCGUCUGAAGCUCUGCUUCAAACAAUUAGGAAAUGGAAAGAUGUAUGGCAUCAUGUAUGAAGAAUGCAUAGCCAUCCCUGAGAGUUAUGAUUAGGAUCAAAACAGAAACCAGAGUUGGAAUGGUAAGUAUGCCCAAGCUAACAUUAACAUCACAAACUAAGGUUGAAAUAAGUAGAGCUCCUUCAGUAAAAGACAAUGCAAACUUAAAUUACUUUAAAUGCCGGUGGAAAAUCAGCCUUUGACACAAGCUGAGGAAGACAUAGCAACAAAAUGUUCUUCUAUUGAAGUCAGUGAGAGAUUUGUUGUGGAGCCGAAUUGGCUUAUAGAAAGUGCUUUCAAAAACAUAAUCUUAAAACAAUACAAAAUGCCCCUUCCAAAAUACACACUACAUUUCCAGACAUUGUUUUAAAUUGGUCCCUGCUUUUGCAAAUCUUUAUUCUCCCUUGCUGUUCUGUUGGAAAAUGGCAGCUCUUGAUUAUACGCUGCCUGCUGUUAACUGUUCAGAACUUGUUCCUUAUUAGCCACGCCAACAACCAAUCUUGUCAUGAAACAUUUUACUCUGAUAAACUUACUGGAACUUUCGUUGUUUUAUUUUUUUUUGUGGUUUCCAGAAAACAUUUUCUUAAGAACUUCUUCAUGUGAAGAACAGCUGUCUACCAUAUGGAUUAGAAGUAAAAUUGGCUUCUCCACCUCCAUCUGAUUUAAAUGUGCAGAAUGGUGCUGCACAAUACUUCAGUCAUAUUUCUGAAAGUUGAGCAAAAGGGACUUUGCAAGACUCCGGAGGACUGUUAAGCCUUAGAACGGCUUGUUUAUAUCCUUUAUACUCUUUCUGAGGAUUUUUUAAGGAAGCUGUAACACUCAAGAUCACACAUGAUCUGCACAACUCAUUGAAGUCAAUGGUGAAGCAGAUGUGGAGGCACCUCUGUGGGGACAGUCAAUUGAGCAUUCUGUGGUGAAUUCUAACUGGUGCUCGAAACCAGCAACUUAUGCAGGAUGUUCAGGGCAAAAGGCAAUUAUUUUGAGUCAGAAAACAACACUCUUACUCCUGGCGGAAGGCAGGAAUGGGAAAGCCUUCUAAAUUACUCUUAACAAAAGAUUUGGCUGUAUAAUUAUAGCAAACUUGGCUGCAAAAUUGCUUUGGGGUGCAGAUGGUGUAGAGUGGCAGCAGCAGCAGCCCCCUUGGCUAUUCCACCUAAGACUCCCCCCUUCAUGAGCACUUUGCUAAAAAAGAAGUUUUUGCUUAUUUAAUAUAUUAUACAAUUCAUCAUUAAAGGGAAAUCUUGAUCUGGUUUACAGAAACAAUAAUAAAUAUACACUAAAUAAAACCAUUUCAAAAUGAAACCAGUAUCACAGAUAGUAACAGAAAUAUAGAAUAGUAGGAAAUGUUCAGGGAAAGCCCUUGCAGAUAGGUGAGUUUUUAAUUUGCAUUAACAGUGCUCACUACUCAGGUCUUCCUGAAUAACAGCCAGAUGGGCAGGGUAUGUAUGUAUGUAUGUAUAAAUAAAUAAUAAAAAUUAUUAUUAUUAUUAUUAUUAUUAUUAUUAUUAUUAUUGUUAUUAUUCUAGAGGAUAGGAGCCACCAUGGAAAAGGGCCGCUUUUAUGUUGCAAACUGGUGCCGAGUUGUUCAAGGCUUUAUAUGUUAACAAUAUAACAUUGAAGAUAGUUGGGUAGCUAAUAGGCAGUCAGUGUAGGUGUAAUAUAUGUGUGGCCAGGUGCUCUACUCAGUGUAUUAUUUAUUAAAUUUGUAUAGUGCCCUUCAUCUGAAGAUCACAGGGCAGCUCACAACUGAUCUGGCCUCUUCCAGGUGAGAUGUUAUAGAGAAAUUAAAUAUGGAUCUACAAUUUCAUAGGUGAGUGAGGUCUAGAUUUUUAAUGAAGGGGGUUAAAGACUACCUUUUUCAUGGUGACUGACAGGUAAUAGUCCUACAGAAACAUGCUCAUUAGCAAGAGGGCUUUCUACAAUUAGAUACAACUAGGUAAGAAGGGCAGAGGUCUAUAGCACAAUUUAGAAACUUAAAAUGAGCUCUUUUAACCAAUGUUCACUUGGGCUCAUCCUCAGUGUCCCAUCACCUGUGCUCUAGUCAACGUCUCAAUCAUGCCACCUCCAGCAGCUCCUCAGAAAUCAGUUUCAGAUCUAAAUCACAGGAAAGAAUUUCAGCAUCCUAAAUCAAAUCCUAAUUUUGACUAGGGCUUCAGCACAAGAGCUUACUAGAUUGACUUCUAAAUCCCAAGAGCAAUCUGGGAGUCCAGAGACACAAGCAGCAUUUGGAGGCAGACUGAUUCAGCAGCUGGGGUAGCUCAGUAGGUAGAGUGUGAGACUCUUCAUCUCAGGUUCAUGGGUUCAAGCCCCACGUGGGGCAGAAAAAGUCCUACGUUGCAGAGGAUUGGACUAAAUGAUCCUUGUGGUCCCUUCCAACUCUAUGAUUCUGAUUUAAUCAGUUACCAACCACUUCAGAAGUUAUUGAGCCCUGUGUCACCUGUUGUUGUUGUUUAGUCAUUUAGUCGUGUCCGACUCUUCGUGACCCCCUGGACCAGAGCACGCCAGGCCCUCCUGUCUUCCACUGCCUCCCGCAGUUUGGUCAGGCUCAUGUUUGUAGCUUCGAGAACACUGUCCAACCAUCUCGUCCUCUGUUGUCCCCUUCUCCUUGCGUCCUCCAUCUUUCCCAACAUCAGGGUCUUUCCCAGGGAGUCUUCUCUUCUCAUGAGGUGGCCAAAGUAUUGGAGCCUCAGCUUCAGGAUCUAUCCUUCCAGUGAGCACUCAGGGCUGAUUUCCUUCAGAAUGGAUAGGUUUGAUCUUCUUGAGUUCAUGGGACUCUCAAGAGUCUCCUCCAACACGAGAAUUCAGAAGCAUCAUUUCUUCGGCGAUCAGCCUUCUUUAGGGUCCAGCUCCCAUACAUCACUACUGGGAAAACCAGUGUCACCUAUCAUCACGCAAUUCUUUAGCCAUGGCACUCUGAAAGUUUUACCUACUCCCAGAACCCCAUUGAAAUAUUCAAAGUAAAA